GGGUGGGGUCCGACUUUGUGUCAGUGAUGCAGGGUCAAUAUUUUUUAUUUCUAACAUUUCUUUUAGAAUUCCCAUCUCUCUGCUUGUAUUAUCCCUCUGUUCUUCCAUGUGGCUGACUUUUUCCACUAGAGGACUCAACAUACUAACCAUUGCUAUCUUAAAUUCGUCUUCUGAUAAUUCCAAUAUUUCUGCCAUAUCUGGGUCUGCUUCUAACGCUUGCUGUCUCUUCAAACUAUUUUCCCCCUUUUAUGACGCCUUGGAAUUUUUUUUUUUUUCAUUGAAAGCCUGACUUGAUGUCCUAGAUAAAAGGAACAUGGCAUGGUUCCCACAGAGGUUUCUGCUCCAGUAAGUUGUGAUUCUCUGUAUCUGCCUUAUCUACCUGUCUGUCUUUCUAAUUUUUGAGGCAGUGGUUUGUCCUAUGACCUCAUUUCUGUGACAGAUCUAAGAAGAAUGGUUGAUUUUCAGUUUGCUUAGAUUUUUUUCUUAUUAUGUAGAUGGGAAUCAUGACUUCCGAGCUCUUUACAGGCCAGGCUGGAAGCUGGAAAUCUGAUAUCCAUUUGUUGUAACACAUUUUCUUGCAAAAAAACCAAAAAUCCUUUGUUCUCUGAAUAACCUUGUUACUCUUGUUUGAAAAAAAUGGAUCGUAGGUGUGUGGGUCUAUUUUGAGAAGUUGUUCUCUUCCAUUGGUCUACGUGUUUUUUCCUACACUAAUACCACACUCUAUUGAUUAUUGUAAUUGCAUAGUAAGUCUUAACAUCAAACAGUGUAAGUCCUCCAAAAAUGUUCUUCUUUUUCAAAUUUGUUUUGGAUAUUAUAGGUUCUUUUCAUUUUCAUGUGAACUUUAGAAUCAGCCUUCCAAUUUUUAUUUAUAAGAAAGCCUGCUCUAAUUUUUCAUUUCUUUGCAGUUGUUCAUAAUAUUUUUGUCUGGUGUUGGUAUCAGGGUAAUGCUGACCUUAUGAAAAUACUGGGAAGUGUUCCACCCUCCUCAGUAUUUUAAGAGUUUGUGUUUGAUUGGAUGUCUUUUUUUAUUGUGUUUUUUGUUAUUAUUAUUAUUUUUUAAUAGUUAUAUCCCCAAUACAUUUUUUUUCCUACUGUACAGCAAGGUGACCCAGUCACACAUAUAUAUACACAUUCUAUUUUUGCACAUGAUCAUGCUCCAUCAUAAGUGACUGGAUAUAGUUCCCAGUGCUACACAGCAAGAUCUCAUGGCUAAUCCAUUCCAAAGGCAAUAGUUUGUAUCUUUUAACCCCAAGCUCCCCAACCACCCCACUCCCUCCCCCUCCCCCUUGGCAACCAGGAGUCUAUUCUGCAAGUCCAUGAUUUUCUUUUCUGUGGAAAGGUUCAUUUGUGCCUUAUAUGAUUCCAGGUAUGAGUGAUAUCAGAUGGUAUUUGUCUUUCUCUUUCUGACUUAUUGGAUUUAUUUCUUACUCAAAUGUUUGAUAAGAGUCUCUGUGGAGCGAUAUUGGCCAGGGAUUUCCCUUGUGGAAAGGUUUUACGAAAUAAAUUUAAAUUCCGUGUCUAUGAUAGAUAUGGAACUAUUUAUGUUUUCUCUUUCUUCUUAUGUCAAUUUUGAUAAUUUGUGAUUUUCAAGGACUUUGAUGAUUUCACUUCAGUUGCCAAAGUUAUCUUAAAAUUGUUUCUAAUAUUCUUUUAAUGUCUUCUAAACACUUUGAUUCCUGAUAUUAAUAAUUUAUCUUUUAUUUCUUUUUUUCAUGAUCAAUUUAGAUAGAGGUUUGUUGAUUUUUAUCUGUCUUUUCAAAAGCAUAAGCUAUUGGUUUUAUUGAGGUUCUUUAGUAUAUGUUGAGUUUUGCUCAUUAUUUCCUUUCUUCUACUUACUUUGGUUUUAAUACAGUCUUCUUCUUUCAAACUUCCUCAGGUAAAUUAAUAGUGUGUUAAGAGACCCCAGGACGACCCCCUGGUUCAGUGAUUUUCCAGGAUGACUAGCAGGACUCAGCAUAUAGACAUAUUCAUUGCUAAGAUUUCUUACAGCAAAAGAUACAAAGCAAUACUGCAAAGAGAAAAGGCACAGGUGAAGUUUAAAGGAAACCAGGCACAAAUUUCUGAGAGUCUUUUCACAGUGGAGCCACACAGGAUGCACUUAAUUCCCCCAAGCAAUGAGUUGUGACAACACACAUGAGAUGUUACCUACAAGGGAAGCUCAUUAGAGACCAAUGUCUAUGGUUUUUAUUGGGGGUCAUCAUAUAGCUUCCUUCUUCCUGGCACAUACUAAUAUCUCAGACUACCAGAAAGAAAAUAGCAUUUAGCAUAAACCAUGUUAUUUACGUAAACCCAGUAAGCCAUUUUUGUUAAGGAAUGAUGGGAACACUCCUGAAAUGUAAGUUCUCAGAUGCCAGUCAAUGGUCAAUCUUGUAAGCACAUCUUUCUAAUGAUACAAGUCUCAGGCUCACUUUGUUACCUCUUUUCUGCACAAAUGUUUAAAAACUUUCAUUUUAUCUAAUAUAAGCAUUUAAAGCUAUGCACUUCCCUCUAGCCAGUCUUUCUUUUAGUUGCAUACUACAAAUACUGAUAUAUUAUGUUUUUAUUUUUUCAUUCAGUUCAAAAUAUUUUCCAAUUUCCUUGUGAUCUCUGUUGCCCUGACUUCAAUUUCAUGGAUCUUUUUGCCUGUAUCUUUUUUUUUUUUUUUUUUUUUUUUUUGUCUUUUUAGGGCUGCACCCAUGGCAUAUGGAGGUUCCCAGGCUAGGGGUCGAGUUAGAGCUGUAGCUGCUGGCCUACACCACAGCCACAGCAACAUCUGAUCUGAGCUGUGUCUGCGAACUACACCACAGCUCAUGGCAACACUGGAUCCUUAACCUACUGAGUGAAGCCAGGGAUUGAACCCACAACUGCAUGUUUCCUAGAGGGAUUCCUUUCUGCUGAGCCACUACGGGAACUUCUGCAUAUGGCAUCUUAUCUGUUAUUAAUUCCUUACUAUGAAAUUUUUAUUUCAUAGAUUGUAUUUGUCAGCUCUAGAAAUUCUAUUUGUUUCUAUUUAUUUAUUUUUUAUUUAUCUUUUUGUCUUUUCUAGGGCUGCACCCGUGGCAUAUGUAAGUUCCCAGGCUAGGGGUCUAAUCAGAGCUGUAGCUGCUGACCUAUGCCAGAGCCACAGCAACGUGGGAUCCAAGCUGCAUCUGCUACCUACAUCACAGCCCUCGGCAAUGCCAGAUCCUUAACCCACUGAGCGAGGCCAUGGAUCGAAGCUACAACCUCAUGGUUCCUGGUCAAAUUCGUUAACUGCUGAGCCAUGAUUGGAACUCCUUUUUUUAUGGUUUUCAUUCAUUUCUGCUAUCUUGUCUCUUAAAUCUUUGAAUAACUUCAGCGUAAUUAUUUUAAAGUAUUUGCUAAUUCCAUUUCUAACAUCUAUGCAAAAUGAAUUAUUUUUCUUCUAGUCGUGGAUUGAAUUUUUCUGCUUUUUUGCAUAUUUAGCAGUUUUUGUUUGGAUGCUGAACAUUUUGAUGUUCCAUUGCUGUGUGUUUGGAUUUUGUUGUCUACUUUAAAGAGUAUUAAAAUAUAUUGCUUUGGCAGACAGUUAGUUUACUUGUAGAUCAAGUUGUUCCUUUUGAGGCUUAUUUUUAAGCUUUAUUAAGCUGAUCAAUGAAGCCUCUCUGCUCCGUUCUGGCUGCUUGGAAUUCAGAGUCAGCUCUGUGUGAGCUCUGAUAGUUGUUAAAUUCAUAGCUUCCUUGUAGUAAUUUUUCUCUGAUAGUUCGUCUUUGCCUGGCCUAUCAUGUCUCACCCUGGACACACCCAAUUUAUAAUUCAUUCUAAAGCUUAAGAGGACCUCUAUACAGAUUUCUGGAACUUUCUCUGCCUAGCUCCCUCCCCUCUGGUACUCUGCCUAUGACUUUCUAGAGCCUUAGCCUCCCUGUCCACCCUCUGUCUCAUCAGCUCAGUGAGGCUGCUAUGCUUUACUUGGAUUCUCUCUUUCUUCAGUGGCCUGGAACUUGUGUCCAAUUAGAAAACUGAGACAAUCAGAGUGCUUACCUCAUCCAUUUCCCUUCUCUCAGAAAUCACUGAUCUGUGCCUCUGUGUAAAAAUAGGUGCUUCUGUGUUUCUUCAGCUUCCUUUUCUUCUCUUGAAAAAAAAUUUUUUUUUAAGGGAGUUCCUGUCAUGGUGCAGUGGAAACAAAUCCGACUAGGAACUAUGAGGCUGUACGUUCGGUCCCCGGCCUCCCUCAGUGGGUUAAGGAUCCGGGGUUGCUGUGAGCUGUGGUGUGGCUCACAGACACGGCUCAGAUCCUACAUUGCUGUGGCAGCUCUGGUGUAGGCUGGUGGCUACAGCUCUGUUUUGACCCCUAGCCUGGGAACCUCCAUAUGCCAUGGAUGUGGCCCUAAAAAGACCAAAAAAAAAAAAAAAAA
rnacentral:lncRNA from 1 species